rnacentral:rRNA from 1 species
UACGUAGGGCGCAAGCGUUGUCCGGAAUUAUUGGGCGUAAAGAGCUCGUAGGCGGCUUGUCACGUCGGGUGUGAAAGCCCGGGGCUUAACCCCGGGUCUGCAUUCGAUACGGGCAGACUAGAGUUCGGUAGGGGAGUCUGGAAUUCCUGGUGUAGCGGUGAAAUGCGCAGAUAUCAGGAGGAACACCGGUGGCGAAGGCGGGACUCUGGGCCGAUACUGACGCUGAGGAGCGAAAGCGUGGGGAGCGAACAGG